AGCGAACGCUGGCGGCAGGCUUAACACAUGCAAGUCGAGCGGGCACUUUCGGGUGUCAGCGGCGGACGGGUGAGUAACGCGUGGGAACGUGCCCUCUGGUUCGGAAUAACUCAGGGAAACUUGAGCUAAUACCGGAUACGCCCUUUUGGGGAAAGGCUUGCUGCCGGAGGAUCGGCCCGCGUCUGAUUCGCUAGUUGGUGAGGUAACGGCUCACCAAGGCGACGAUCAGUAGCUGGUCUGAGAGGAUGAUCAGCCACACUGGGACUGAGACACGGCCCAGACUCCUACGGGAGGCAGCAGUGGGGAAUAUUGGACAAUGGGCGCAAGCCUGAUCCAGCCAUGACGCGUGAGUGAUCAAGGCCUUAGGGUUGUAAAGCUCUUUUAUCCGGGACGAUAAUGACGGUACCGGAGGAAUAAGCCCCGGCUAACUUCGUG
rnacentral:rRNA from 1 species